ACUCCACAUACGCAUCCUUUGCUGAGGAUACGGUUAACGGAGCGAAAGCGACGUUCAACCGCAAAAGAAGCAGAGGGGGCUUAGUGGUGGGGUGACUGCGUACCUUUUGUAUAAUGGGUCAGCGACUUAUAUUCUGUAGCAAGGUUAACCGUAUAGGGGAGCCGGAGGGAAACCGAGUCUUAAUUGGGCGUUAAGUUGCAGGGUAUAGACCCGAAACCCGGUGAUCUAGCCAUGGGCAGGUUGAAGGUUGGGUAACACUAACUGGAGGACCGAACCGACUAAUGUUGAAAAAUUAGCGGAUGACCUGUGGCUGGGGGUGAAAGGCCAAUCAAACCGGGAGAUAGCUGGUUCUCCCCGAAAGCUAUUUAGGUAGCGCCUCGUGAAUUCAUCUCCGGGGGUAGAGCACUGUUUCGGCUAGGGGGCCAUCCCGGCUUACCAACCCGAUGCAAACUGCGAAUACCGGAGAAUGUUAUCACGGGAGACACACGGCGGGUGCUAACGUCCGUCGUGAAGAGGGAAACAACCCAGACCGCCAGCUAAGGUCCCAAAGUCAUGGUUAAGUGGGAAACGAUGUGGGAAGGCCCAGACAGCCAGGAUGUUGGCUUAGAAGCAGCCAUCAUUUAAAGAAAGCGUAAUAGCUCACUGGUCGAGUCGGCCUGCGCGGAAGAUGUAACGGGGCUAAACCAU
rnacentral:rRNA from 1 species